GGGAAUAUUGCACAAUGGGCGAAAGCCUGAUGGAGCCAUGCCGCGUGUGUGAAGAAGGCCUUCGGGUUGUAAAGCUCUUUUGUUUGGGAAGAAGGGUGCGAGGUUAAUAACCUCGUACUGUGACGGUACCUAAAUAAGAAGCACCGGCUAACUCCGUGCCAGCAGCCGGGGUAAUAA
rnacentral:rRNA from 1 species